UGGAGAGAGUGCAAAAUCGAGAGAGUGCAGGAGAAAAGCUUCUGCUCUAAUGACGGCGCAUUCUCAGGCAGCCACCUCCGCCGUUCUCGUGCUGCGACAGCCCUCAGCCUCGAUCUUUAGCGGAUUCCCAUCUGGUGGCUGAUACAGAUGAAGUGGAAACCAAACUUGAGAGUGGAAGCCAUCAAACUAUUUGCCUUGAUUUGCGGAUUCCCAUCUGGUGGCUGAUACAGAUGAAGUGGAAUCCAAACUUGAGACUGGAAGUCAUUAGACUAUUGGCCUUGAUUUGAUGAAGUGGAAGCCAAACUUGAGACUGGAAGCCAUCAGACUAUUGACCUUGAUUUGGUUAAUGCUAGUAAAGAUGAUACAGUUGUCGACUUGCAUCCAUUCACAAUGACACACUAGCUUGCAUGUCUAUCGGGCUCAAGUAUUUCUAAGUAUGAGCCUUGCGGUUUCUUCAAGACAUCGACAGCCAUUAGCUUAAGAAUAAAUCUAGCCUAUUGUAAAUAAGAAUACCCUGUUUGUAGUACUUGGGUUUCAGUGAAA